GACGAACGCUGGCGGCGUGCUUAACACAUGCAAGUCGAACGGAAAGGCCCUGCUUGCAGGGUACUCGAGUGGCGAACGGGUGAGUAACACGUGGGUGAUCUGCCCUGCACUUCGGGAUAAGCCUGGGAAACUGGGUCUAAUACCGGAUAGGAGCCAUUUUUAGUGUGAUGGUUGGAAAGUUUUUUCGGUGUAGGAUGAGCUCGCGGCCUAUCAGCUUGUUGGUGGGGUAAUGGCCUACCAAGGCGGCGACGGGUAGCCGGCCUGAGGGGGUGGACGGCCACAUUGGGCUUAGGGUACGGCCCGACCCCCUCCGGGGGGAGGCAGUGGGAAUAUUUCAACAAUGGGGCAAGCCCUAUUGCAGCGCCGCCGGGUGGGGAUGACGGCCUUCGGGUUGGAAACUCCUUUCGCUAGGGACGAAGCUUUUUGUGACGGUACCUAGAGAAGAAGCACCGGCUAACUACGUG
rnacentral:rRNA from 1 species